CUCUAGGAGAGAAAGGAAAGCAGACAGCAGCAAAUGAAUCCGUGUCUGUCUUCUCAAAAGGCAGGUUUCAGUGCUCUCCCAGGCUCAGUAACCCUGUGAAUUUAGACAUUAAACAGGCCUCUCAUGGGCAAGGUGGAUUUUGUAGGAAAGCAGAAACUCCCACGAGGGAGAUGCUCAAAAGCAUGUGAAUAACUCAGGGAAGGCAGUCCCCUCAGCUAUAAAGCUCUAACUGCUGGAAACUCUUCUGACCCCAGGCAUUUUGGACAGGGAUCCAGCUGGACACUCCCUCAGACUCUGACCCUCUGGCCUCCCUUCUGUGCCCUGUCUGCAGCCCCAGAAGGGCCAGGCAGUGAUUUGUGCUUCCCAGAUGUGCCUCUGCCUCAUCUCCAGACCUGGGGUAGCUACACCUGCAGGAAAAGGGGAUAACAGGAUAAUUUGCUUUUUUAUCCUCCAAACAGCCAGACAGGAGCAGAACAAAUGGAGAAGGCAGGGCUGCUGUGGCAUUGUGACCACGUAGUGCUGCUGGCCAAAGGGUGAGUUCCUGGAAAGCUGUCAGCAGAUCUGGCUUUUCAGAAUUAUUAUCUUUUCACACCAAGCUCAAACAUGGUUUCAGCCCUGUCCACGUGAAGGGCACAGGUCUGGAAUGCACAUUGCAGGGUCAAGGGUGGCAGUGCUUAGCUGGCUGUGGGGAGUGAGAAACACCCAAAAUACAUAAACUGAUGGAGACCUUCCAGCCUGAAAAGGCUUUGGCAUGCCAGCUUUGGCGAGUCUCACGUUUCUUUAUUAACAUAAGCAAAUGGAUUCCCAGCUAUCGAUGAUUUAACAAUUUCCUUGUCCAUGCAAUGUGUGCUCUCACACCUGCCCAGCCUCUCCUCUGUGCUCUGGCUGGGGAUAACUGAAGGAUCUGUGAGCCCAAAGUGCCCCUCCCCUCACCCCUUCCCCCUUUUCCUUGGAUAUGCACAGGCAGGAGGAGGAAACUCUUGGUGGUGUUGAAAAUCUGGCAUUUCUCUCACUCCUGUGGAUGCUGGCAGGAGAGGGAGGAGAGAACAGAACCCAGCCAGGGGCUCCAGGGCACUCUGACCCUCAGAAGCCCCCAGAGCCUGGGGAAGGCGAUGCUAUUCCCUCGGGAUGAGCAUCCCUUCCCGAGGGGAUGGAAUUCCCUGCGGUGGGAAGGACAGGCUCGGAAAGGAGAGCACGGUGUGCUCUGAGCCCCUCACCUGCAUCCCGCGGGCUCCCUGCAGGGGCUGACUGGCCGCACCGCGGCUGCUGCCGGCCCCAAACACGGGCUGGGAAGGCUCGGGGCUGUGGGGAAAAUUGGGAAUGGGGCGGGAAGGGCCGUGUGGAUGGGCUUUGUACCAACCUGGGUGAGGCGGAGACACAGACUCUGCAAACUGGAUGCUGCUGCUGCUGCUGCUGUCCCAAGGAACCUGAGCAAGGAGAAGGAAAGGAGAGGAGCUGAGCCACAGAGCGAGGAGUGUGAAUUCCACAGUGGAGGGAAUCCCAAGGAAUUCCUAGGGAUGGAUAUUACCGGGAAUGGGUAAUUAACUAAAGACCACCGCAGGUGUCCCGUCAGACUGGAUUGAUGUCGUUAGAGAAGCAGCUCUUGCAGCGCUCCUUGAAAAGGGACAGCCUCGUUUUUUAAGGAAUGUUGGAUGCUGAAACAAGACAGACCAACCACUUCUAGGAACCUGACCUGCUGGAAAGAAGGAAUCCACCCCAAGAGCAACGGGAGUUUUGCUGCUUGGGGGCCAGGAUUUUACUCUGCAAGUACUGGUGGGGUUUUCCCCCUCAGAUUUAAUUCAUACAGCCCUCCACUUCAUCUCCUUUAUUCAAGAUGCUCUCGAGUGAGCAGCUCAUUUCCCUGGCAACAACUUCCUGGCACAUGCCGUGCAUUUAAUUCCUGAAGCAGUGACUCUUCUGGGCUGAGGGUGCCUUUUGUCCCUGGUGCAGACGUGACAAGGCAGAGAUGGAGUCCCCGGGUUGAGCUUUUCUCAGUGCACAUCCUGCCAGCCCGAAGCCUCGGGGCUUUUGGGGCGGGCCAUACCUUGUGCAGGUCACCGAGGUGACUUCCCUCACCGCCGCUUUUCACUUUUUCCUGUGUGGGCACCACAGGGGUUGUGUGAAGUGCUGGUGGGAAGUGAAAACCGGUUCCACGCAGCCCUGGGACACCUGGCUGUGAUGAAGAGGCUGCUGCUGCUGGGGCUGCAGGGGAGCAGUGACCCAGCGUUUCCAAAACCUGACAAUUCUCUUCACCCCUGGAUCUCAGGCUGAUUUUUGUGCAAUCAGCUGCAACAAAGUGCAGAAGCUGAAAUGUGAAGGGCUCCAAGAGCUGCAAUGUCAUGAACCAGGAAGAAAUAAUGAUUUGCCAAGCUCUUUAUGCAAAUGCCCUGAGUGGCUGGAGCUGGAGGAAUCCUACAAAGGCUGGAAGAGGGAAUGAGAGGGAAUGUGCAGGUGUGUGUGUGCACACAGAGCUCCAGCCCCUCCUCCAGAAGGGAUGGGGCUGCCCAGGUGUGCUUUCAUUCUGGAGGGAGUGACUUUUCUGGAGCAGCAGCAGCUCUGCUUUCUCCCUGUACUCCUCAGAUUCUCACUCCUUUAGGUCACUGCUGCAGCUACUCUGACUGAAUGUUCCUUUCCCCCAUCCUCACCAGCCUGUUACACUCAGAUUUUGGUCCUGAGAUUACAGUCCUGGCAAAAAAAAAAAAAAAAAAAUCAUUAAAAGAGAAGGUACCAAGCCAUCACCACAAUAUUUUUACUCACUGCUGAACCAGCAGCUGCUUGUCGUGCUCUCCUCUGCUGCAGCAACUCCUUGACUGUGAUCUUCACCCUCACACCUUGGUACACCUUGGGCUUUCCUGGAAGAAUUUGUGGAGAAACACUUUGCAAGGAGGGAGAAUCUCCGAGCAAACAGCAAAUCCAGCAGGUUUUCAGGCGUGCUCUACGUGGAGAGCAGUUUUAGACUUAACAUGACUGUUUUUUUAGUCUCUCUUUGCAGCCACACUCACAGCCCCCUUUAACACCUGCUAUUCCAGCUUGGGACAAGCAGACACUCAUGAAAAUCUCGCUGUUGAUAAUAUUUAAAAAGCACAUGUUUAUUAUCUAUCUUCUUCUUCCCCUGCCCCUCUUCCAGCUUUCCCAAUACCCAGCUCCAUCUGGUGCUGCUGUUGGACUCAUUUAAAUUCCUGACAUAUUUGCCUCUCUCAGGACCUGAAAAUAAAUGUGGGAAGCAUUUCAUCUGGCAGAUGAAGCCCAGGAACAAAACAAUGGAAAUGUGUGGGUGGUUAUUCAGAGAGCUCAACAAAACACCGAUAAAAUGACUGUUUUCUUGCAAA